AUUCCUACGGGAGGCAGCAGUGGGGGAUAUUGCACAAUGGAGGAAACUCUGAUGCAGCAACGCCGCGUGGGGGAAGAAGGUCUUCGGAUUGUAAACCUUUGUCCUUGGUGACGAAACAAAUGACGGUAGCCAAGGAGGAAGCUCCGGCUAACUACGUGCCAGCAGCCGCGGUAAUACGUAGGGAGCAAGCGUUGUCCGGAUUUACUGGGUGUAAAGGGUGCGUAGGCGGCUCUGCAAGUCAGGCGUGAAAACUAUGGGCUUAACCCAUAGACUGCGUUUGAAACUGUGGGGCUUGAGUGAAGUAGAGGUAGGCGGAAUUCCCGGUGUAGCGGUGAAAUGCGUAGAGAUCGGGAGGAACACCAGUGGCGAAGGCGGCCUACUGGGCUUUAACUGACGCUGAAGCACGAAAGCAUGGGUAGCAAACAGGAUUAGAUACCCUGGUAGUCCAUGCCGUAAACGAUGAUUACUAGGUGUGGGUGGUCUGACCCCAUCCGUGCCGGAGUUAACACAAUAAGUAAUCCACCUGGGGAGUACGGCCGCAAGGUUGAAACUCAAAGGAAUUGACGGAAU
rnacentral:rRNA from 1 species